GGCAGACGGGUGAGUAACGCGUAUGCAACCUAUCCUAUACAGGGGGAUAACCCGGAGAAAUUCGGACUAAUACCCCAUAACAUUAUUGACAGGCAUCUGUUGAUAAUUAAAGUUCCGGCGGUAUGGGCUGGGCAUGCGUAACAUUAGCUAGUUGGUAAGGUAACGGCCUACCAAGGCUUUGUUGUUUAGGGGUCCUGAGAGGGUGAUCCCCCACACUGGUACUGAGACACGGACCAGACUCCUACGGGAGGCAGCAGUGAGGAAUAUUGGUCAAUGGGCGCAAGCCUGAACCAGCCAUCCCGCGUGCAGGAAGACGGCCCUAUGGGUUGUAAACUGCUUUUCCAGAGGACGAAACUCCGGUACGUGUACCGGAUUGACGGUACCCUGGGAAUAAGCAUCGGCUAACUCCGUGCCAGCAGCCGCGGUAAUACGGAGGAUGCAAGCGUUAUCCGGAUUCAUUGGGUUUAAAGGGUGCGUAGGCGGGCUAUUAAGUCAGUGGUGAAAUCCUGCAGCUUAACUGCAGAACUGCCAUUGAUACUGAUAGUCUUGAGUUUGGUUAAGGUAGGCGGAAUGUGUAAUGUAGCGGUGAAAUGCUUAGAUAUUACACAGAACACCAAUUGCGAAGGCAGCUCACUAAGCUGUUACUGACGCUGAGGCACGAAAGCGUGGAGGAGCAAACAGGAUUAGAUACCCUGGUAGUCCACGCUGUAAACGAUGAUCACUCGUUGUUGGCGAUAUACCGUCAGCGACUGAGCGAAAGCAUAAGUGAUCCACCUGGGAGUACGGCGGCAACG
rnacentral:rRNA from 1 species